rnacentral:misc_RNA from 1 species
GAUGAAGAACGUAGCGAAAUGCGAUAAGUAAUGUGAAUUGCAGAAUUCAGUGAAUCAUCGAAUCUUUGAACGCACCUUGCGCCCUUUGGCUAUUCCGAAGGGCAUGCCUGUUUGAGUAUCAUGAACACCUCAACUCUUCACGGCUUGCCGUGAUGAGUUUGGACUUUGGGGGUCUUGCUGGCCUACGAGCCAGCUCCUCUCAAAUGUAUUAGCUUGCCGGUGUUUGGUGGCAUCACAGGUGUGAUAACUAUCUACGCUUGUGGUUUUCCACUAGGUAACCUUCAGCAAUGGAGGUUCACCGGAGCUCACAAAUGUCUCUCCUUGCCAAGGACAGAUUUUGACCAUUUGAUCUCAAAUCAGGUAGGACUACCCGCUGAACUUAAGCAUAUCAAAAGCGGAGGA